rnacentral:rRNA from 1 species
UACGGAGGGUGCAAGCGUUGUUCGGAAUUAUUGGGCGUAAAGGGCGCGUAGGCGGCAUGGCAAGUCAGAUGUGAAAGCCCCGGGCUUAACUCGGGAACUGCAUCUGAAACUGCUUUGCUUGAGUCCUGGAGGGGGUAGUGGAAUUCCCAGUGUAGCGGUGAAAUGCGUAGAUAUUGGGAGGAACACCGGCGGCGAAGGCGGCUACCUGGACAGUGACUGACGCUGAGGCGCGAAAGCUAGGGGAGCAAACGGG